rnacentral:rRNA from 1 species
AGAGUUUGAUCCUGGCUCAGGACAAACGUUGGUGGUGUGCCUAAUACAUGCAAGUCGAACGAGAAAGUCCCUUCGGGGGCGAGUACAGUGGCGAACGGGUGAGUAACGCGUAGAUAACAUACCUUUAGCUGGGGGAUAGUCAGUCGAAAGAUUGAAUAAUACCGCAUAAGACCACAGUAUCCGUGGAUACAGGGGUUAAAGAUUUAUCGGCUAAAAAUUGGUCUGCGUCCGAUUAGCUUGUUGGUAAGGUAAAAGCUUACCAAGGCUCUGAUCGGUAGCUGGUCUGAGAGGAUGACCAGCCACAUUGGGACUGAGACACGGCCCAAACUCCUACGGGAGGCAGCAGUAGGGAAUCUUGCGCAAUGGGGGAAACCCUGACGCAGCGACACCACAUGAGUGAUGAAGGCUUUAGGGUUGUAAAGCUCUGUUCUUGACUAACAAACAAAUGAGUCGUCAAGGAGAAAGGACCGGCUAAUUUCGUGCCAGCAGCUGCGGUAAGACGAGGGGUCCAAACGUUGUCCGGAAUUAUUGGGCGUAAAGCGGGUGUAGGUGGUUUUAUAAGUCAGAAGUGAAAGCCUUAGGCUCAACCUAAGAAGUGCUUUUGAUACUGUAGAACUUGAGUUUGGAAGGGGGCAAUGGAAUUCCUAGUGUAGUGGUGAAAUGCGUAGAUACCCGGAGGAACACCAGAGGCGAAGGCGGCUUUCUGGGCUGUGCCUGACGCUGAUACACGAAAGCGUGGGGAGCAAACCGGAUUAGAUACCCGGGUAGUCCACGCCCUAAACGAUGGAUACUAGAUAUAGGGGGUAUCGACCCCUCCUGUGUCGGAGUUAACGCGAUAAGUAUCCCGCCUGGGGAGUACGGCCGCAAGGCUAAAACUCAAAGGAAUUGACGGGUCCCCGCACAAGCGGCGGAGCGUGUGGUUUAAUUCGAUGAUAAGCGAAGAACCUUACCUGGGCUUGACAUGCAUUUGACAACCCAUGAAAAUGGGCUUUCCUUAGGGACAGAUGCACAGAUGUUGCAUGGCUGUCGUCAGCUCGUG